rnacentral:rRNA from 1 species
CCUACGGGAGGCAGCAGUGGGGAAUAUUGGACAAUGGGGGAAACCCUGAUCCAGCGACGCCGCGUGAGUGAAGAAGUAUUUCGGUAUGUAAAGCUCUAUCAGCAGGGAAGAAAGAAAUGACGGUACCUGACUAAGAAGCCCCGGCUAACUACGUGCCAGCAGCCGCGGUAAUACGUAGGGGGCAAUCGUUAUCCGGAUUUACUGGGUGUAAAGGGAGCGUAGACGGCGAUGCAAGUCUGAAGUGAAAGGCGGGGGCCCAACCCCCGGACUGCUUUGGAAACUGUAUGGCUGGAGUGCAGGAGAGGUAAGUGGAAUUCGUAGUGUAGCGGUGAAAUGCGUAGAUAUUAGGAGGAACACCAGUGGCGAAGGCGGCUUACCGGACUGCAACUGACGUUGAGGCUCGAAAGCGUGGGGAGCAAACAGGAUUAGAUACCCGAGUAGUC